GUCGACGAUUACUCCUACGGGAGGCAGCAGUGGGGAAUUUUGGACAAUGGGCGCAAGCCUGAUCCAGCCAUGCCGCGUGAGUGAAGAAGGCCUUCGGGUUGUAAAGCUCUUUCGGCCGGGAAGAAAUCGCAUGGGUUAAUACCCUGUGCGGAUGACGGUACCGGCAUAAGAAGCACCGGCUAACUACGUGCCAGCAGCCGCGGUAAUAAUCUCUAGA
rnacentral:rRNA from 1 species